rnacentral:rRNA from 1 species
UACGUAGGGUGCAAGCGUUGUCCGGAAUCAUUGGGCGUAAAGAGCUCGUAGGCGGUCUGUCGCGUCUGCUGUGAAAACUCAGGGCUUAACCCUGAGCUUGCAGUGGGUACGGGCAGACUAGAGUGCGGUAGGGGAGACUGGAAUUCCUGGUGUAGCGGUGAAAUGCGCAGUUAUCAGGAGGAACACCGGUGGCGAAGGCGGGUCUCUGGGCCGUAACUGACGCUGAGGAGCGAAAGCGUGGGGAGCGAACAGG